rnacentral:rRNA from 1 species
GACGAACGCUGGCGGCGUGCCUAAUACAUGCAAGUUGAGCGCUGAAGGUUGGUACUUGUACCGACUGGAUGAGCAGCGAACGGGUGAGUAACGCGUGGGGAAUCUGCCUUUGAGCGGGGGACAACAUUUGGAAACGAAUGCUAAUACCGCAUAAAAACUUUAAACACAAGUUUUAAGUUUGAAAGAUGCAAUUGCAUCACUCAAAGAUGAUCCCGCGUUGUAUUAGCUAGUUGGUGAGGUAAAGGCUCACCAAGGCGAUGAUACAUAGCCGACCUGAGAGGGUGAUCGGCCACAUUGGGCCUGAGACACGGCCCAAACUCCUACGGGAGGCAGCAGUAGGGAAUCUUCGGCAAUGGACGAAAGUCUGACCGAGCAACGCCGCGGGAGUGAAGAAGGUUUUCGGAUCGUAAAACUCUGUUGGUAGAGAAGAACGUUGGUGAGAGUGGAAAGCUCAUCAAGUGACGGUAACUACCCAGAAAGGGACGGCUAACUACGUG